UAAUCACCUCACCGUUCUAACUGCUGUGGAAAGAACAUAGAAUAUGCGCAGUGCCUGUAGCAAACUGACCCUCAAGAACAAGCGGAAUGUUUUCAAGGGGAAGGGGUUGCAAGGUUGGAAUUUUCCAGAGCGACACUCGAUGACGUAGGCUGACUUUUUAUUUUUAUUUAUUUCACCUUUAUUUAACCAGAGUUCCUAGUUGUCUUGAAAUAACCAUGAAUCCAGGGAAUGCCAGACUUUGAUGACAAAGUUUGAUGACUAAAUUUACCCACAAGAAGGACCGUCGCGCCACCUUCCUGUUCAAGUGAGCACAGCAUAACAAGAACAGUGACAUAGAGCCUGAGGAGGAUGUCCCAAGCCCUAAAAUGUCUCCCAAGAGAAAGAUACUCAUCCAUUAUUAAUAACAAUUCAGUGGCCAAGCCCACAGCCAUUGCAGCUUCCACCACAUCAACGGUAACAUCAAGAGUGGAGUGCCUGUUUGGUCACUGGGUCCUGGUCCGAAAGAUGGUCCAAUUCUCCUUUUCUUGCACUUCUUUCAAACACUAACUCGCCACAUCACGCUAGUGUGUCAGAAUACAUGGACAAUGUAAAUACUGUAUAACAUUUGUACAGGUGGUUCGGGUUAGCUGAUUUUAUGGUAGAUGUUUUCUUUCAGAUACAAAGUGAAUUAAGUGGGAAGAACAGAAUAUUUCAUUCAGGUGGGAUUACUUUUUUUGUGGUGUUUAGUGCUGAUUAGCGAACC